CAAGUCGUGCGAGAAAGGGCUUCGGCCCCAGUAAAGCGGCGCACGGGUGAGUAACACGUAGGUUAUCUCCCCUCGAGUGUGGAUAACCCUCCGAAAGGAGGGCUAAUACAGCAUGAGACCACGACCUUCUAGGUUGCGGUCAAAGCAGGCCUCUUCAUGAAAGCUUGCGCUCAAGGAUGAGCCUGCGGCCCAUCAGCUUGUUGGUAAGGUAACGGCUUACCAAGGCUAAGACGGGUAGCUGGUCUGAGAGGAUGAGCAGCCACACUGGAACUGAAACACGGUCCAGACUCCUACGGGAGGCAGCAGUAGGGAAUCUUGCGCAAUGGACGAAAGUCUGACGCAGCGACGCCGCGUGAGCGAUGAAGGCCUUCGGGUUGUAAAGCUCUGUGGGGAGAGACGAAUAAGGCAUGGCCAAUAUCCAUGUCGAUGACGGUAUCUCCUUAGCAAGCACCGGCUAACUCUGUGCCAGCAGCCGCGGUAAGACAGAGGGUGCGAACGUUGUUCGGAAUUACUGGGCGUAAAGCGCGUGUAGGCGGCAGCGCAAGUCGGGCGUGAAAUCCCACGGCUCAACCGUGGAAGUGCACUCGAAACUGCGCAGCUAGAGUCCUGGAGAGGAAGGUGGAAUGCUUGGUGUAGAGGUGAAAUUCGUAGAUAUCAAGCGGAACACCGGUGGCGAAGGCGGCCUUCUGGACAGUGACUGACGCUGAGACGCGAAAGCGUGGGGAGCAAACAGGAUUAGAUACCCUGGUAGUCCACGCCGUAAGCGAUGAGUGCUAGGUGUCACGGGCUUUGACCCUCG
rnacentral:rRNA from 1 species